rnacentral:lncRNA from 1 species
AAAAAUACGGGGAAAAUUUUUUAAUUUUGAAUUUCAAUGAAAUUAGAAUAUUACAUAAGGAUCCAUAUGCUAACCUUCACUUUUCCUCAGCCCUCAUGUGCCUCAUUAUUACCUCAAAUACAUGAUGGUUCACUUAACAUAUUUUCUUUGAGAAACAAAGACAUUGUAAGAGUCAAGUCUUUGGUAAAAUAUUAAUAUACUUAAUGAAAUGGCUAGAAUUAGUAAAUUUCACCUUUAUCAUCAGAGUUUAUUUUUGUAGAGUGAAAUUAGGUUU